CCGGCUGCGCAUGUGAAGCUCGCCUGUUCAGCGACCCGUUCCUUUUGUAUGUAGCCUGUAUAUUGGUAUCCCGGCGUAUUCUUGCGUUCCUUCAGCACUUCCGACAGGAAACCACUGCACUAGUGCACUACGGCAAGGUGAUAAAUUUUGUUUGACAGUCUGCGACGCAUUUCAAGCAAUUUUGGCUUUUACGGCACGAGACCGAGACGAUUGUGACGCAAUUGGCGAAAAACAGCUCGGCCGUCCCGUCACACUUAACUUGAGUUAAUGACUCGUACUGGGAGGUGUUUGCGACGCUUUCUAUAGGCCCCAACAUUAUUGUAACUAAUUUCGGUACUUUUCAAGCACAGUGGCCGCGCCCGGCGUUCUGACGCAGUUACCGAAAAGCAGUUCGGCCGUGUGACGCAGUUUCGCGUAUACUGAAUCUUGCUCGGCCGGACAAGUUUGACGUUUUCUAUGACCCCCAACAUUGUUGUAAUCAAUUUCGUUGCGUAUUGUAAUUAAUUUCGUUACUUUUUGGGGUACUUUUCGAGCACGCGACCACACAAGGAGGUGAAAGCGCACAGCAACAAACAUCUCAGAUCCUCAAGACCCUGCUGUCUUGGAAUGAUGCCGUACAGUACAGCUGGUUCGGAGCGAAAGGGGAGAAGUUCGGUGACGUGAAUAUUUGCAAGCUGGCAGCCUGACCAGUGAUAGAUCCUUCAGCGCCACCCUGGAAGACAUAGAAAAGCAGGCAUGUCAUGGUUUCGACACGCUCCCUAUAGUGCGGCAGCAGAUAGAUCAACAGAGGCCGACUCAGCGUGAAGAAACCCAUUUUGUGAUACCGUUAUGUAAAAGGGCUGACAGUCAUCAUUAUAAUACUCAUUCUCUUUUUCUUUUAGUGCAACGUAAAGCUUGCCAAUUCGUUCAUUGUCCAUUUAUACAGUUGUAAUUCAAGAAAGCAUUGAGGAAGACAUAUCUGAAUCGUUCGGUAAUUAUGUACGUAUCCCACCCUUUGUGUGAGCACAGGGAACGCUUAAAAAUUAAGCGUGCUGAUUUUUACGUUCCCACUAGUUGCAUAUUUAAUAAUUAUCUUCACUGCGUUGAACGGAAUAAAAGUUUUUUUUUUCUGUA